GCGGACCAGGUGAUCGCGGCUGCACAGACGAAAGGGUGCAGACGAGGAAAGUCCGGGCUUCACAGGGCAGGAUGCCGGAUAACGUCCGGUGGAGGUGACUCCCAGACCAGUGCAACAGAAAUAAACCGCCUUCUGUAUGGAAGGUAAGGGUGGAAAGGCAGUGUAAGAGACUACCGCCUUUCUGGCAACAGAAAGGGCACAUGUAAACUCCAUUCGAAGCAAGACCAAAAAGAAAGCCAUACGGCGGCCCGUCGUGCUUUCAGGUAGGUCGCUUGAGCCAUUCGGCAACGGAUGGCCUAGAUAGAUGAUCACCCACGACAUAACCCGGCUUAUCGGUUCGCUU
rnacentral:RNase_P_RNA from 1 species